GCUCGUUUAGCUCAGUGGUAGAGCAUUUGACUUGUACUAUAUGGACAUCAAAAGGUCCGUGGUUCAAUCCCGCGAUCGAGCU
rnacentral:tRNA from 1 species